UACACCCAAAUUUUCAAAAUUGUACGAUUAUGCUGAAAUUUGCACAAAUUGUAGUCCUAUCACAACUAAGAUUUUUGGCCAAAUUGUUUGACUCACGACCAACGGGUUGUCUGGUAACAGAGGCUUGAAGUUUUAGCAUUUAGGCCGUUGUGUCCAACUUCAAACGCCGGACCGAGCGCGUCACGCACGGUGCAGCUCGGCCGCUGUUGCAAGUGCCACGGAUGAUCCGAUCAGUUCUAUUGCUUGUGGCCA